UGCAAGUCAAAUCGCAAGAUUGGCAGACUGCUCAGUAACACGUCGAUAAUCUGCCCUUAGGAAGCGAAUAACCUCGGGAAACUGAGGGUAAUACGCUAUAGGGUAAAGAUACUGGAAUGUUCUUUACCUGAAAGUUUCGGCACCUAAGGAUGGGAUGGCGGCGGAUUAGAUUGUUGGCGGGGUAAUGGCCCACCAAGUCAGAGAUCCGUAGGAGCCUUGAGAGAGGUAGCUCCGAGAAGGGCACUGAGAUACUGGCCCUAGCCCUACGGGGUGCAGCAGGCGCGAAACCUUUACAAUGCACGCAAGUGUGAUAAGGGAACCCUAAGUGCUUAGCUUUUGCUAGGCUUUUUUUAAGAGUAAAUACCUUGGAGAAUAAGUGGUGGGAAAGACUGGUGCCAGCCGCCGCGGUAACCCCAGCGCCACAAGUGGUGACCACAAUUAUUGGGCCUAAAGCGUCCGUAGCCGGUUUAUUAAAUCUUCUGUGAAAUUGUUGGACUUAAUCCAGCAGCGUGCAGAAGAGACUGGUAGACUUGAGACUGGAAGGAGCCGGAGGUAUUCUUGGGGAAGCGGUAAAAUGCUAUAAUCCUAGGAAGACCACCUGUGGCGAAGGCGUCCGGCUAGUACAGAUCUGACGGUGAGGGACGAAAGUUGGGGGAGCAAAUCGGAUUAGAUACCCGCGUAGUCCCAACUGUAAACUCUGCGAGCAAGGUGUUGCUUAUUCUUCAUGAAUGAGCAGUGUCGAAGAGAAGUCGUUAAGCUCGCCGCCUGGGAAGUAUGGUCGCAAGGCUGAAACUUAAAGGAAUUGGGGGGGGAGCACUACAAGGGGUGCGGCGUGCGGUUUAAUCUAAUUCAACGCAGAGAAUCUCACCAGAAGCGACGGCAGGAUGAAAGACAGUCUGAAGGGCUUUCUUGACGAGCCGAGAGGUAGUGCAUGGCCGCCGUCAGCUCGUGCUGUGAAGUGUCCUGUUAAGUCAGGCAACGAGCGAGACCUGCACUCACAAUUGCUAACGGGUAUUUCGAUAUGACCGAGCACUUUGUGAGGACUGCCCUGGAAACAGGGAGGAAGGUGCAGGCUACGGUAGGUCUGUAUGCUCCGAAUCUUCUGGGCUACACGCGCGCAACAAUGGUACGGACAAUGGGAUACAACCCCGUAAGGGGAAGUCAAUCCUCGAAACCGUAUCCUAGUUCAGAUUGAGGUUUGCAACUCAGCCUCAUGACGAUGGAAUCCCUAGUAAUUGGUCUUCAUCAUGGACCAGUGAAUACGUCCCUGCUCCUUGCACACACCGCCCGUCAAACCACCCGAGUAGGGUUUAGAUGAGGCUUAAUUUUUAAUUAAGUCGAAUCUAUGCUCAGCGAGGAGGGUUAAGUCGUCACAAGGUA
rnacentral:rRNA from 1 species